AGAUAACUUGCUUUAUAUAGGUUUCUUCGGGUUCAAAAGCUAAUGCACUUUACCAACAUAAAAGUUCUUUAUGAAGCUAGAAGAGAAAGUGCAUGCCAAAGAGGAAGAAGCGCAUCAGCUCCAAGCAAGAACCCAGGAAAAGAAAGAAGCAGAGAUCAAAUAGCUACGGAGAAAUCUCAAUUUCAAAGCAACUCCCAUGCCUGCCUUCUACGGUGAACCUGGUCGCCGCUUAGACAAAACAAGG